AUUGAACGCUGGCGGCAGGCUUAACACAUGCAAGUCGAGCGGUAACAGAGAGAAGCUUGCUUCUCUGCUGACGAGCGGCGGACGGGUGAGUAAUGCCUAGGAAUCUGCCUAGUAGUGGGGGAUAACUUGCCGAAAGGUAAGCUAAUACCGCAUACGUCCUACGGGAGAAAGGAGGGGACCUUCGGGCCUUUCGCUAUUAGAUGAGCCUAGGUCGGAUUAGUUAGUUGGUGAGGUAAUGGCUCACCAAGACCGCGAUCCGUAGCUGGUCUGAGAGGAUGAUCAGUCACACUGGAACUGAGACACGGUCCAGAUUCCUACGGGAGGCAGCAGUGGGGAAUAUUGGACAAUGGGGGGAACCCUGAUCCAGCCAUGCCGCGUGUGUGAAGAAGGUCUUAGGAUUGUAAAGCACUUUAAGUUGGGAGGAAGAGCAGUUAACUAAUAUUUGACUGUUUUGACGUUACCGACAGAAUAAGCACCGGCUAACUUCGUGACAGCCGCCGCCGUAA
rnacentral:rRNA from 1 species